CUCACUAGUCGAGUGACACUGCGCCGAAAAUGUACCGGGGCUAAACAUAUUACCGAAGCUGUGGAUUGUCCUUUGGACAAUGGUAGGAGAGCGUUCUAAGGGCGUUGAAGCAUGAUCGCAAGGACAUGUGGAGCGCUUAGAAGUGAGAAUGCCGGUGUGAGUAGCGAAAGACGGGUGAGAAUCCCGUCCACCGAUUGACUAAGGUUUCCAGAGGAAGGCUCGUCCGCUCUGGGUUAGUCGGGUCCUAAGCUGAGGCCGACAGGCGUAGGCGAUGGAUAACAGGUUGAUAUUCCUGUACCACCUAUAAUCGUUUUAAUCGAUGGGGGGACGCAGUAGGAUAGGCGAAGCGUACGAUUGGAUUGUACGUCUAAGCAGUGAGAUUGAGUGUUAGGCAAAUCCGGCACUCUUAAGAUUGAGCUGUGAUGGGGAGAGGAAAUUGUUUCCUCGAGUCGUUGAUUUCACACUGCCGAGAAAAGCCUCUAGAUAGAGAUUAGGUGCCCGUACCGCAAACCGACACAGGUAGU
rnacentral:rRNA from 1 species